rnacentral:rRNA from 1 species
CAGUAGCCGCGGGAAUACCAGCAGCCCAAGUGGUGGUCGCGUUUAUUGGGCCUAAAGCGCUCGUAGCCUGGCCGGUAAGUUCCCCGUGAAAUCGGGUCGCCCAACGAUUCGGCUCGCGGGGAAUACUGUCGGUCUUGGGGCCGGGAGACGCCGAGGGUACUCCGGGGGUAGCGGUGAAAUGCUGUAAUCCUCGGGGGACUACCAGUGGCGAAGGCGCUCGGCGAUAACGGGCCUGACGGUGAGGGGCGAAAGCUGGGGGCGCGAACGGGAUUAGAUACCCCGGUAGUCCCUGUCUCUUAUU